ACAAGAGUAACGAUCUGAUCCGAGGCUAUCUUCCCUCCCGGAGUGGCGAUCACAUAGGAUUCCUUAGUGUGACCGACAUCCAGCUCACAUCUUUCUCUAGCCUUACUCCCGAUAAAGCUAUGAGAGGCUCUCGAGUCAAACAACACAACAACAGCUUGAUUUAAGACAAGGAAAGUACCCGUCAUUACUGGUGCACCUUCGGGGAGUUCGGUCAAGCUGGUGUAGUUGAGCCGGCCUUGUCG
rnacentral:lncRNA from 1 species